AUACUUUUAGAGAGAAUAAGGAUGCCGAUUUAUGUGCAAUUGCUAUCGUCAGCCUUUGGAUUGAUUUUAUGCAUCGUUGCCACGGCCUUACCUGGAUUCUACACUGAAAAGACAGGCCAAUUGAGCAUCUUUUACGGCAGGUUUUGUGUAAACGAUAAAUGCUCGACAAGUUCUUACGUUGCUCGUAAUGAGGAACAUAAUACUGACGGGGAGUAUUAACUCGCAAUGAUAGAUGUGCAGAUAGAAAGUCUCCUUGCUGUCGUUUUUGGGGGAGUCGGAUGGUUGAUUCUUUUUUGGAAUACCAAGAGGAAAGCGUCGAUUCCAUCAAAGUUUGUGACUGGGGGAAUUUUACUACUUGUGGCAGUUACAUCUGAGUUCGCUGUCUUGCUUCGAUUUAUCGCCACAAACGAAUCCAGAAAAGCAUCAAAAGGAGAAAACAGCUCUAUUGGAGUGCCAUACUCACUAAUAUUUGUCGGUUUCGGUAUUGUAUUCAUUCUUUUUGAAGUUGUAAGGAGCUUUAGCCUCCAUAUCAGCCAGGAAGGAACUAAUCACCAGAUGGUGGGUGGAGUGGAGUUGAAUAACAAUGAAAACAAUAUCUAGAGUAAAUCGACAUCAUGCUUAGUAUUGAUACAGGCGCAUACCAUAUAUGAAUUAAGGAUGAUUUAUAUUGCAUAUUAUAUACGCACUAUGUGUUCUAAUCUUAAUCCACUCAUUACCUUCAAAUAAAAUUACAAUUUA